rnacentral:rRNA from 1 species
AAAUCCGAUUGUGAAGGCAGCCUGUUAAGCUGCAACUGACAUUGAGGGCUCGAAAAUGUGGGUAUCAAACAGGAUUAGAUACCCUGGUAGUCCACACGGUAAACGAUGAAUACUCGCUGUUUGCGAUAUACGGCAAGCGGCCAAGCGAAAGCGUUAAGUAUUCCACCUGGGGAGUACGCCGGCAACGGUGAAACUCAAAGGAAUUGACGGGGGCCCGCACAAGCGGAGGAACAUGUGGUUUAAUUCGAUGAUACGCGAGGAACCUUACCCGGGCCUAAAUUGCACUCGAAUGAUCCGGAAACGGUUCAGCUAGCAAUAGCGAGUGUGAAGGUGCUGCAUGGUUGUCGUCAGCUCGUGCCGUGAGGUGUCGGCUUAAGUGCCAUAACGAGCGCAACCCUUGUUGUCAGUUACUAACAGGUGAUGCUGAGGACUCUGACAAGACUGCCAUCGUAAGAUGUGAGGAAGGUGGGGAUGACGUCAAAUCAGCACGGCCCUUACGUCCGGGGCUACACACGUGUUACAAUGGGGGGUACAGAGGGCCGCUACCACGCGAGUGGAUGCCAAUCCCUAAAACCCCUCUCAGUUCGGACUGGAGUCUGCAACCCGACUCCACGAAGCUGGAUUCGCUAGUAAUCGCGCAUCAGCCACGGCGCGGUGAAUACGUUCCCGGGCCUUGUACACACCGCCCGUCAAGCCAUGGGAGCCGGGGGUACCUGAAGUGCGUAACCGCGAGGAUCGCCCUAGGGUAAAACUGGUGACUGGGGCUAAG